UACGAAGGGGGCUAGCGUUGUUCGGAAUUACUGGGCGUAAAGCGCGCGUAGGCGGAUCGCUAAGUCAGGGGUGAAAUCCCAGGGCUCAACCCUGGAACUGCCUUUGAUACUGACGAUCUGGAGAUCGGGAGAGGUUGGUGGAAUUCCGAGUGUAGAGGUGAAAUUCGUAGAUAUUCGGAGGAACACCAGGAGCGAAGGCGGCCAACUGGCCCGAUACUGACGCUGAGGCGCGAAAGCGUGGGGAGCAAACAGG
rnacentral:rRNA from 1 species